AAACAAUGAUGAUUCUUUAUGCUCGUAUAAAAAUCUGCUAACAGAAGAAGUUUCAGAUCCAUUCAUCCUAAUAGAAUUUGUUAGGAUUAUAGUUAAAAAGAUUGGUUUUAUUGUUACUGAUAUGGUUCAGAAGAAAUUCCAAACAGAAUAGGUUUUAACAAAUCAUUUACAAUACAAAUGAUCGACUGUUUUACAAAACCGCGUUUUCCUACAAUUUUGAUGAACCAAAUUAACUCAUGACUAUUACAUGUAAUUUAAAAGCGUAUCAAUGGAAGCAGUGACAUUGGUACCGCUAAUGUUUUCAUUGUUAGUACUGUGUUAUCUUGUUUGCCUACAUGUACAAAUGAGAGGUUUCGCUAGCUAUACAUGUAAAACCAUGUAAAAUUCACAACUUUCUACAUAGAACAUAUUUGUGCCAAAUACGAAGUAUGACAGUUGUUAUAGAUUUGUUAAAUUUGCUUUUGGCCUUUGGUUUUGUCAUUAGCUUAUAGAUAUAGGAAGAUGUGGUGUAAGUGCCAAUGAGACAACUCUCCAUCCAAAUAACAAUUUAAAACAAUUCAUUAUAGGUAAAGUACGACUUCAAACGGGCUUGCUUAACCAACAUUCGAAAAAAAGUCGGUUUUUUUUUUAUUAUUGUUAUAUCAUGUAUAUUCCUUUGUACUAUGAAAUAAUUUACAAAUAAAGAUCCUUAAUUAAAAUAGAGAGGCAAAAGAUACCGAGGAUAGAAUCAAACUUUCAAGUCGAGCAAUGAUUGACACUGUCAGGGCUCAAGAAGCUUAAAACAAGCAUCAGACAAACGACAAACAAUAAUGCCAAAAAACAUAUAAAACUACUUAGACCAAAACACCCACCACUAACAUCUGUGAAUGAUAUUGGUGCUUCGGAGGUAAAAUUAGACCCAGCUGCUUAUAGAACAGCCGUGGUGUUGCUCAUGUAAAUAAACCCCCUGUAAUAGAUAAAAGCAUUAGUAGUAUAAUAAGCCUUACAUUGAAGAUAACAUUUGGGGGAAAAAAGUAAAGGGGUUAGAAACAAGACUUUUUUUAAUAUAUCCGCGCUAUUAUAUGUACUGUUAAACAGACAUUCCAUAAUUAUCAACCAACUCGUCUUGGG
rnacentral:lncRNA from 1 species